rnacentral:rRNA from 1 species
GGACCCGCACAAGUAGUGGAGCAUGUGGUUUAAUUCGAAGAUACGCGCAGAACCUUACCAACACUUGACAUGUUCGUCGCGACUCUGAGAGAUUAGAGUUUUCGGUUCGGCCGGACGAAACACAGGUGCUGCAUGGCUGUCGUCAGCUCGUGUCGUGAGAUGUUGGGUUAAGUCCCGCAACGAGCGCAACCCUCACUUUUUAGUUGCCAUCAUUAAGUUGGGCACUCUGAAAGAACUGCCAGUGAUAAGCUGGAGGAAGGUGGGGAUGACGUCAAGUCCUCAUGGCCCUUACGUGUUGGGCUACACACGUGCUACAAUGGUAGGUACAGAGAGCAGCCAAUGCGCGAGCAUGAG